rnacentral:rRNA from 1 species
UACAGAGGUCCCAAGCGUUGUUCGGAUUCACUGGGCGUAAAGGGUGCGUAGGCGGCGCGGUAAGUCGGGUGUGAAAUCUCGGAGCUUAACUCCGAAACUGCAUUCGAUACUGCCGUGCUUGAGGACUGGAGAGGAGACUGGAAUUUACGGUGUAGCGGUGAAAUGCGUAGAUAUCGAUAAGGAAGACCAGUGGCGAAGGCGGGUCUCUGGACAGUUCCUGACACUGAGACACGAAGGCCAGGGGAGCAAACGGG